GACGGCGCUCGGCUGUCCCAGCGCUGCGGCUCCCCGGUACCGUGAUCUGCGCCUUUGCUGGUCUCAGGAGGCACCUGCGAGCCGCACGCCGAGGGCCUGCCAGGCUGCCCCUUUUGCACCCCCGGCCUGGUGGGUGGAAGUGGGGUCUCCGGGCGGGUAGGCUCCGGGUGGGGGCGUGGAGACCGAGGGUCGAACCGGCUGGGAGCUCCAGGGUCUUGGAUAUGGGCCUUUUGCAGUUCCUAGUCUUCCUGUUUGUCCUGCUAGUGUCUGGAACAGGAGUCACUGACACUCAGAGGACCUCCGUGGACCCGAGCCUGGAGAUCUACAAGAAGAUGUUUGAGGUGAAGCGACGGGAGCAGCUGUUGGCAUUGAAAAACCUGGUACAGCUGAAUGAUGUCCACCAGCAGUACAAGAUCCUUGAUGUCAUGCUCAAGGGGCUCUUUAAGGUGCUGGAGGACUCCCGGACAGUGCUCCUUGCUGCGGAUGUGCUCCCAGAUGGGCCCUUCCCCCAGGAUGAGAAACUGAAGGAUGCUUUCUCCCAAGUGUUGGAGAACACGGCCUUCUUCGGCGACGUGGUGCUGCGCUUCCCGCGGAUCGUGCACCACUACUUUGACCACAACUCCAACUGGAACCUCCUCAUCCGCUGGGGCAUCAGCUUCUGCAACCAGUCGGGCGUCUUUGACCAGGGGCCCCACUCGCCCAUCCUCAGCCUGAUGGCCCAGGAGCUGGGGAUCAGCGAGAAAGACUCUGAUUUCCAGAAUCCAUUUAAAGUAGACCACACAGAGUUCAUUUCUAGCACCGACCCUUUCCAGAAGGCCCUGAGAGAAGAGGAGAAACGUUGGAAAAAAGAGGAGAAGCGGAAAGAGAUCCGAAAAGGCCCGCGGAUUUCGCGAUCCCGGUCCGAGUUAUAGCCCCGUUGCAGCCCAUGGUUCAAGGGGCCAGGAGGAAGAGGAGGAGGCGGCAUGGCCAAGCUUCACUGGCAAAGUGAAUAUGAUAACAUCUGAACGGCUUCUCCAAGGCUGGGACCUGGCCUCUCAAUGACGGGUGUCCUUCUCUGAUGGUUCUUCAUUCGUCCCAUAGAUUUGCUGAGCACCCACUGUAAGCCCAGCCACAGAGAGGGGUCCAGUCUUACCUAUCCUCACCUCUGCCCCAUCUGGUACCUUCAUCCUCCUGGGCUCUUCCUUCUACAUCUUCGGCCUCUCUCCAUCUUGGUUGAUCUCUUCCUCUCCAUCUUCAAAUGGUUCCAGGUUUUCCCAUCUGACACCUUCAGAGAAACAAACAGAACUGCCCUGCUUUCCCCUCUCCUUCCCUUUGCUGCACUGUGGAUUGUGGUCACUUGUUCCUGGAAUUCCACCUUGAGUCAUACUGUAGGCAGAGCCUGUCCGCGCCCCUGCUGGAGCUGCAGAGGCCCUAAGAUACUCGUUUGUCCAGCCUCCUUGUAGCUAGCAUUCAGUUAGUGACUGAUGUGCCACUAACCAGAUGCACCGUGUGAGUGUGGUGGUGGAAACAGUGGCCCACAGGGUCAGGGGGAUUCCUCGUGGCCAGACCAGCUCCCAGGGUGCCUGCUGGUGGCAACAGCGAUGUCUUCAUUGGUGCGUUCAGCAUGGUCUUGGACGUCGUUCCUGUCUGUUGAGCUUCCAGACACGAUCUGUGACACCCGUGGAAAAUCUGGGUGCUCCCAGUAUCCCCUAAGACAGGGCUCCUCAGCAGUGGCACUGUUCACAUUCGGGACCAGAUAAUUGUUUGUUGUGCAGAGGUCUGUGUAUGUGAGAUAUUUAGCAGCAUUCUUGGCCUCUACUUACUAGGUGUCUGUAGUCAUCUCCCAGUUAUGACAACCAAAAUGUCCCAGACAUUGUCCCCUGGGGGCAAAACCUCCCUGGCCACAUCCCUUCCUCCUCCUUAUCUCAGCCCCACAUCUUCCUGUGCUGUCCCAUCGCUGCCGGGAAUGCUGUUAAUGGUUCCUGAGGACCCUCCCAGGCCUCGGGGCCUCUGUGUUGUCCUUGUUUUCUGCUCUUGGUCUGCAUCUGCUCUGUCUCUUCCCGACUUCUCUUUCCUCACCUGCGCCCUGAAUAAAGAGUUUACUGGCUUAGUC